rnacentral:ribozyme from 11 species
AUAAAAGAAAUUGGUUGAAGGAAGAAAGAGAGGACAGCAACCAAAUUUUGUUUUUUUGUUUGAUUCUCCUUUUUCGUUCUUUUCUCUCCUCUCCUC